rnacentral:misc_RNA from 1 species
GAGCUGGAUAUUGGAGCUUGAUUUGCCAACCUGAAGCAGAGGGCCAGAGUUCGUUCAGUCACUUUUACAUGGAACAAUAGUAGUAAUUUAACCGCAAAAAACCCAAAAUUAGAAAAAUCGAAAAAGAGACUACAUAGAACAUUUAGAGAAGUCAGUCACGUCUGAGAUGAUUGAUAGAGGCUGUCCAAAACAACAAUAUCAAACCAUUUUACAGCUUUUCCAAAUCUCUGACCAUGGCUUGUACUUGGCGCUUGGAGCAAUAUCUUAACCAGUGUCCAU